CGCUCGGAUUUCGUACACCUCACAGGCCUCAUGGGGAGAAAGAGAAGGACCCAGGGAUUUUCCCCGGGGAAUGCUAGUGGGACCCUCUUCUCCUGCCCACCAGCCCUCUGACUGUGGGGUUACAGCAGACUCUGCCCAGGCCCUGGCCAGUCUGUGUAGCUACUUGGCCCUUAAGGGUGGGGCAUAGGGCCAAGCCCAGCAGAUGGAGGCAAAAUCACUCAUUCAUCCAUUUGGCAAAUAUUUAUCUAGCGCCUCCCGUGUGCCAGGCACCAAGUAGACUCGGAUCCAGCCGUGAAGAAGCCAGGGUCUCAAGCUCAGAGCAGAGUGGGCCGGGUGGGGACUUUGACAGACUUGUGCACAUGCCUCCACUCCUUGCCAGCUAACCCUUGCCAGGACGGGAUGCACACCUAGUACUUUCAGAUGUCAGUUUCCAAGAGAAGCCAGGAACCCAGCUUUCGCUUUGGAAUGGAGUUUCCCAUCAUUUUCAAAUGUUGGCAACAAAUUCCAAAUUGUUAAACCACUGCAGGCCAAAUGAAACCUAUUCGAGGGCCAAAUACAGCCCCCGGGGCUGCCCAUUUGCAACUUCUGAGCAAGUGGAUGAAGGUGUUUGGCCAUCAAGAGCCGUUCCUCCAGCUGCAGCUUGCGCUUGGGCCAGUCAGCUCUGCUCUGGAGCAGGGGGGCCGAGUCCAAAGGGAGGGGAGGGGUAUGUGCAAAUGAGGUGGGCUGCAAGGGGUUUCUCUGUUCAACCUGCUUCUUUCCCCACCCCACCCUAGACUCUCCCCCCCAACCUGGCCGUGUGUGGAGGACGUGAGCAUGGAUGCUGCUUUAGAUGAGACCUUCCUUCCAAGGGUCGUGAAGCUCUUGCUCCGGUUGGCCAUGCUGACUUUGCUUUGUGGAAAUGCCUCAACAGACCAGGAACCAGACCUCAGAGCCCAGCCCCUGCCCUUAAAGAAGUGAGAAAGAAAUGUCCCCUCAGCAGAUAGCUUGGUGCAGGGGAAGGGGUUUCCCCUGGAGGUGUGGGGUCUGAACUUUUCUCUUGCCUUCAGGAGACAUGGGUAUUUUCCUUCACGCAUUCAGUAGAGAUUUAUCAUGUCAGAUGCUGUUCCAGGCAGUGGGGAUACCACAGUGAAUGAGACAGACAAGGCCCCUGCCCUCCUGGAGCUGGAGAAAGACAGCAAUAAACAA